rnacentral:lncRNA from 1 species
UCUACCUCUUUUGGGUUUGGAUCUCUAAGACCAUGAAGUGGAUCAUGAAGUUUCUUUGUAUGAUAGAUUACAUUGAUGGAUUUUCAUAUAUUGAACCAUCCCGGAAUCCCUCAGAUAAAGCCUACUUGAUCAUGGAGGAUGUUGUUUUCGAUGUGUUCUUUUUUGUUGUUGUUUUUCUGAUGCAAACGCAAGAGGUUUAUUUUCUGACGUGUUGGG